rnacentral:lncRNA from 1 species
CCUCACCACAGCUAUCACACACAGGCAAAACACAGCUGAUUCGUGUACUCGAUCUCCCCAGCAAGUUAAGGCCACCAUGUCGAGCGGCUGCGGCAACUGCGACUGCGCUGACAAGACCCAGUGUGUGUAUGUAGCUAGCUAUAUCUGCUGUCGAUCCAUCACUUCUUUCAUAUACUAUAUAGCAUCGAUCGAUCGAUCAGCUGGUUCUGCUAUAUAUCCAUAUCAUAUGACGGAUCUCCUCCCUCUCUGUGGCUGGGUUACUCCUCUGUUCCUUAAAUAUUGGCACGGAUUUAAAUUAGAGCUAGUUCAAAACCGUGUCAAUUUUAUGAAACGGAAAUCCUGUGUUUAUAACUAGUCUGUGACGGCCAUGCAUGAACCGUGUUAUUUUGUGGUGCGUGCAGGAAGAAGGGAAACGGCUACGGCAUCGUCAUGGUUGACACCGAGAAGAGGUAUACUACUGCUGUGUCCUGCUUCUUCACCUUCGUCGAUAGAUUCGCCACGACAUGCUGCAUGUGUUAUUGAUUAAUACUCGCUACACAAAGCUCACAUUCUGUCCUGAUCGACAUCCUUUUUUUUCUUUCUUUUUUGCGAAUUACUGAUCGACGUCCUGUUCGAUCGUCAUUGUAAAUCCUACUAAUUCCCAAAGAAUGUUCUUCUCACUCUAUACACACACGUCUACAGCCACUUCGAGGUGCAGGAGUCCGCGGCGGAGAACGACGGCAAGUGCAAGUGCGGCACCAGCUGCACCUGCACCAGCUGCACCUGCGGCCACUGAAGCAGCAGCCUCUGAUGCCUCUACCCGUACUACACUACUAGUAACCCCAGCUUAAUUACGCUAACCCACGAGCACACGUGUCUGCUUGAUGCGUGCGCACGUGGCGCGGCGUAAGCUAUGACAAUAAAAAGUGUGCUGUACCUGAUGUGUCUGUGUGUCGAUCUAUGUCUGUCACGUACGUGGUCGUGCAAAAAACCCUGAAAGUUUAAUUGGCUGGUUAAUUUGUGCAUAGGGAAAUUAACAGUUGGAAAGGGCGAUCGGUCUUGAUCCCUCUGUGUUUCCCGUGUAACGGCUACUGAUCCAGUGGUUAAGCUUCGGGUUGUAUGUGAGUCCGUACGUGUUUGCAUGGAAUGAAAUUUAUCGUGUGGUCUUACUAUCUAUACUGGCGGAACGUCUCUUGGCUCCCUC